rnacentral:rRNA from 1 species
GAUAAGUUAAAUAGCUGCGGUAUUUUGACCGUACAAAGGUAGCAUAAUCAAWAGUUUCUUAAUUAGGAACUGGAAUGAAAGGUUGAAUAAGAAAAUAACUGUCUCAAUUUAAUUUUAUUAAAAAUUUAUUUUUGAGUUAAAAAGCUUAAAUUUUUUUUAAAGACGAGAAGACCCUAUAGAGUUUUAUUAUUUUUAUUAUUUUUUAUUUUAGAAUAAAAUUAAUUUUUAAUUAAAAAUAAUUUAGUUGGGGUGAUUGAAAAAUUUAUAAAACUUUUUUUUUAUUUUUUACAAAAAUUUUUGAAUUUUUGAUCCAUUUUAAAUGAUUACAAGAUUAAAUUACCUUAGGGAUAACAGCGUAAUUUUUUUUGAGAGUUCUUAUCGAAAUAAARGGUUGCGACCUCGAUGUUGGAUUAAAAUUAAUUUUUGGUGAAGAAGCUAAAAAAUU